rnacentral:rRNA from 1 species
UACGUAGGGUGCAAGCGUUAAUCGGAAUUACUGGGCGUAAAGCGUGCGCAGGCGGUUGUGCAAGACAGAUGUGAAACCCCCGGGCUUAACCUGGGAACUGCAUUUGUGACUGUACGGCUAGAGUGUGUCAGAGGGGGGUAGAAUUCCACGUGUAGCAGUGAAAUGCGUAGAUAUGUGGAGGAAUACCGAUGGCGAAGGCAGCCCCCUGGGAUAACACUGACGCUCAUGCACGAAAGCGUGGGGAGCAAACAGG